rnacentral:rRNA from 1 species
UCGAGAAUCUUCGGCAAUGGGCGAAAGCCUGACCGAGCGACGCCGCGUGCGGGAUGAAGGCCUUCGGGUUGUAAACCGCUGUCAGAGGGUAGGAAAUUUUGACCGAUCCUCAGAGGAAGGACGGGCUAAGUUCGUGCCAGCAGCCGCGGUAAUACGAACCGUCCAAACGUUAUUCGGAAUCACUGGGCUUAAAGGGUGCGUAGGCGGCGUAGUAAGUCGGGUGUGAAAUCCCACGGCUCAACCGUGGAACUGCGCCCGAUACUGCUAUGCUCGAGGGAGACAGGGGUGAGCGGAACUGAUGGUGGAGCGGUGAAAUGCGUUGAUAUCAUCAGGAACACCGGUGGCGAAAGCGGCUCACUGGGUCUCUUCUGACGCUGAGGCACGAAAGCUAGGGGAGCGAACGGGAUUAGAUACCCCCGUAGUCC